rnacentral:lncRNA from 1 species
GACACUUGCUCCAAGUAAUCUCAGGAGUUUGGGUACUUUUCUGCUAGAAGAUGUUUUCCUGAGAUGGGCAGGUGGGCUAGACGGUCUGGUGGGGAGCUGGUGAGGAAGGUCAUAGUUCAAGGAAUAGAGGCUGUUGCACGAAAAUUUUGUUGUUGCUAGAAAGAUGAAUAAGUGUUAUCAUGUAGGACAAGUUUAACACUCUCCAGUUUGGUCCGUUGGUCUUUGGAUGCAAUGGAGUCUGUCAUGGUUGUAGGGUUAAUAUUCUGGGGGUAAAAUUUUGGUUACGUUACUCUUCAUCUAUGGUAACAGUAUAGAGGUUGGGGAAAAUGGCUGCCAAAGGGUAACAUGUUGAAGUUGUGGCUACCGAUGGAGCGACAGGAAAACUAUACAAAACAGCAGCAAGAAAAAAUAGUGUUGGCUAACUUUUUUUGUAGUUUUGCAAGUACAGUUUCUAUCUAAAUAUUCAAGGAAGUAGAAUGAUAGUUGAAGGCUAUGACCGUAUUGCAACUGCCAAGGAUCAAUAAAUCUGGAGAUUUUUAAGUGGUUGCCACGUGUGCUGAGGAGGGUGCAAACACCUAGUAGGUGAAGCUAGCUAUGGGAAACACGUAAGAAGAGGCUUGGCUGGAACGGAUGUAGGAAAGCUCAAUGGGCUGGGUUGUGCUACACUGCUGGGUACAAUUCUUUCUACGGGGAAUGUGAAGCUGUAUUAAUUACCCUCAUUUUUUUUGGAAUGGUGUACCCCACUUAUGAACUAUGCAGGUGUUUCAUUGUUUCUUUGUUUCUUUGGACCUCUAGCAUUGUUAGCCUGAGGCCCAAUAGCAAGGCUUCUCCAUCAUGUAGGUUUAGCUUUGGGGUUGGGGGAAUUACUAGUACAACUCUGUUUUCUUCUCUGGUG